AUAAUUAUCUUUAUUAGAAUGUUUUAUGAACUGGGAUGGAAAAGGACUCCUUACAGAAUCACAAAUCAUGAAGAGAAACAUUGAUAUAUUUGAGUAUUAAAAUCAAAAACCUCUGUUCAACAACCUAACCAAGCAUCAUAGCUAACAUUCCCUUUAACUGACAAUCAUUUAAUUUCCAGAAUAUCUAGAACUUCUGUACAUCUAUCAGUGAUAGGCUCCAUAGUACUAAAACAGGUAAAGAUAUUAAAGAGAAGAUCUUUUUGAUAUUUGAAUUGCCAAUAUGCAUAUAACAAUUUCUCAACAGCACUAGGAAUCAAGGAAAAUCAAAUUAAAGUCAUGAUGGGAUAUUUCACCCUCAUCAAUUUGGCAAAGAUUAAAAAGUCUGACAUUAUCAAGAUUGGCAAGGAGAAAAAAAUGUCAAUGUCAUGGAAUUUUUUUUUAAAGCUGGGGUAUUUUUCUAGGCUAAAGGGAAUUAAAGGAGACUAAAGAUACAUGACAAUUAAGUGUAAUAUUCAAUCCCUGAUUAGAUUCUGGGCUGGUGGAAAAAUUAUAAAGAGGAUUAUUACCUCAGUGGGGAAAUUUGAAUCUGGUAUACAAUAGGUAAUAGAAUUUUUUCAACAUUUAAUUUCCUGAGUGUAAUGAUUGCAUUGUGUUAUGUAGGAAAAUGUCCUCGUUCUAGGAUAUAUACAUAUAUACAUAUUUAAUUUUUAUUAAUAUUUAUUAUAUAAAUUUAUGUAUAUUUACAUCUAUUUCAAUAUAUGUAUACAUGUGGAAAAUAAAAGACCAAGAAAUUUUGAAGAGAAGGGGAAAGCAGAUAUAGCAGAAUGUCAGUAACUGUUGAAAGGAAGUAUGUACAUGUGUUCAUUGUGUCAUUUUGGCAACUUUUCUUUAAAUUUGAAAUUUUUCCCAUCUAGAGGAUGCAUGGACAUGAAAAAAAUGGAAACGUUGUCACUGGUAUUGGCUGUCUCCAUUGACAGGACCACUUUAGAGAACAAUCUGGCAGGAUCUAGUAAAAUUCUGUAACCCACCGAUUCUACUCUUGAGGCGUUUUCUCAAAUUGCAGGGUGGAUGUAGAUAAGACAGUUCACUGUGGUAUGUUUUUAUAGAAAAAAUAUGGAGAAUAACCAAGUGUUCACAAACCACAGGAAAAAAAAAACAAAGAAAGCAUCUAUUCCUACAACUCAGAGUGAAUGAACUAGUCUUACGUGUAUCAGUCUUUUAAAAUCUCAAAAAUAACAUUAUUGAGUGAAGAAAGCAAUUUACAGAAGGAUCAGUGCAGUAGUAUGUCAUUUUUAUAUUGCUAAAAUAGCUCAGAACAGUACUAAAUCUUGUUAAUGGAUUCACGCAUAUGUAGUCAAUGUUUAAAAAUAUUGCAGAUAAUAAACAUUAAAAUUCAAGAGAGUGAAGAGAGAGAGGAGUGAGUUUGUGGAGCCCCUCCCCCCUAGGAAUCCUCAAUCAUAUCUGUUAUUUUCUUCUUAAGAAAAAUAAUUUGGGAACAAUAUAGCAAAAUGGUGACAUGGGACAAAGCUGGGUGGUAGAGGGCUGAGGUUUGUUAUAUUAGUUUCUCUUCUUUACCGUUAGUGUAAAAUAUUCACAGUGUAUUUUUGAGAUCUUUGGCAGGACAGGAUUGGGAAAUACGCAUUUUAUUCUGCCUUUAUAGGAGGCAUGCUGGAAACUUGCGCUAAACUCUGGAGACGGAGCUCUCAGAAGAGGCUGGUUUCAGAAGGUGUUUCUUGCAAGACAGCAAGCUCACUGUGGUGCUUUUGUGCCCAUAGACUAAAUUGACACUGGGAGCACUGCAUUGACGCUGCAUCUCUAUAGUUUAAAAAAAAUGCAUAUCUAUAUCUGCAAGGGAUUUAGGACAAUGGUGCAAGCUACAGCCCUGUAGCACCACGCAGCUAAAGGACGACAAACAGUCUGAAGUUAAUUGCAAACAAAACAAACCUGCUGACAGCUGGGUUUCUACCAGGAAGACUCCCCAGCUCUCACUGAGAACCAGAAGGAGCAUCAAGAUGGGGUCAGAGGGGGUGCCCCCGACUCCUUGCUACAAACGGGAUCUCCAGUCAGGCACCCACAGGCACUGAAGAAGCCCUGUGGGGGAACGUUCCAGAGUCCUUUUAACAGCCUCAGCCAACCGCAGUGCGUCCCAGGGCUGUGUCCUGUCUUGAAACAUAGCUGAGACUGGGAGCCAAAAACUGGAUUGCACAGAGCCCACUUCUGCUUUUAAAUAUGGACCAGUUAUAUGGCUUAAGGCGGUCCACUCUUCAUCCUGAGAACAAACAGGAUAUUUAAAAUGGCAUUCAUUUGGUAAACAUUUAGAAAGGUGAGUGUCUCUUUUGUGCCAGAUACCAGGCUGGACUGAGCAGCCAGGGAUGAACAAGAGCCGGUUGGUCCCUAUGGGACCACAUCGUCCAGUGUGGGAGGCGGACAUGAGCAAAACGCAGUACAUGUUCCAGUGCCAGCUGUGACACAUCCCCUGGGAGCAGAGAAGAGAGCACAUGGAACACUGAUGGUGGCCUUGGGGCUUCUGUAGACAAAGCAACAUCUGAGCUGAAGAUAAGUGGCCAGGAGGGUGGAUGCAAAGCCUGGGUGUGUGGAAGAGCAUGGUGAGCUGCAGCCCCGCCCUUGGAAGGAGAAGGGUGAGCAAGAGGGAUUCCCAAAGCCUUCAAGGCAAGCAGUACUGCAUUUUAACAACCAUGAGCUGAAGCCUGUUUGGGCUGGAGAUUUCUCAAGGUGGAGGCUUCCAUCUUGGAACAGUGAAUGCCUCCGUUUGUACCCAGCUGCGGACGCCCAGCAGCCAGUACCUGUCUGAUGGAACUGUUUGUCCUUUAGCCUCUCCCCCUUCUUUGUAACCUCAGGGGACACCUCAGCUCCUGGAAUGUCCGGCAAGGCAGUUUGCUCACCAAGAAUUCUGGGUGUACCUGGGAGGAGUGGAGACUGGAAAGACCUUCCAGAACAUUCAAAAGUCCUGCCAGCCACUUCAGACUGCUUGUGUGCCGUGGAUAAGGAACCUGACUAGUAUCCAUGAAGAUGCAGGUUCAUCCCUGGCCUCACUCAGUGGACUAAAGAUCCCGCAUUGCCAUGAGCUGUGGUGUAGGCCACAGAUGCGGCUCGGAUCCCACGUUGCUGUGGCUGUAGCCUAGGCCAGCAGCUGCAGCUCCAAUUCAACCCCUAGCCUGGGAACUUCCAUGUGCCACGGGUGUUGCCCUAAAAAGACAAAAAAUAAUAAUAAUAAUUGGGGUGGUUGUAAGGACUAAACAAAAGAAAGCAUGUAAGGCAGAUAGCACUGUGCAUAUUAAAUACUUAAUACAUUUCAUUAUCAUUAUAGUUAAUAUGUGUCCAUGUUUCUGAUAUCUCUUUAAAAAUUCCGUGUCCUUUCAAUGCUUAUUCACUCUUUCUUCUGCUUAUAGCCACUAAAUAGAUCCCAUCGAGCUCUGUUUCCUGCGUUUGUAUUAUGAAAAGAGUAGACAUAUUGGAUAUUCUUUCUCAAACCAGGAAUUCUCCCCUGGAGAUCCUGAUGCCUGCCUCCACCCCUCCACUGGUUGAGAAACCCUGAUGAGGUCACUGUAGGCUUUUAAGCCCAGGAGACACACAACUAGAUGAGGCUGCUUGCAGUAUCACUCCAUUAUCUUGGGAUCGAAUUUAUAGCAUGUGUCUAAAAUAGUUUAUAAGCUCUUGUGUCUUCUUUUGUCAACUGCCUGAAUUUUUUAUUUCCGGGGAGAUCAUACUCAGGCUUCCCAUGUCUACUGUACCAGUUUGGGGCCCAGAGACGUUAUAUUUUACACCCUGUUGAAAUAAACCCUUGUCAUUUUCUGGGCUAACACUCCCUGGAUGAGUCAGAGAUUUACUUCAAGCACUGCGGCCUCUGCAGACUCCCUAAGGGUCAGGCCACUCUUCUCUCUGAGGGUCUCUGGCUAGGCUGCCACCUAAUGGUGAGUUUUGUGAGUUUAAAAAAAAAAAAAAAAUGCUUUUGAGAAGCACUGUACACGCACCCUUGGAAAUGAGACCCACUGCUGCUGUGAGUCAUUCCGGAUGACAGCGCAAGAGAUAUUUACUCAUCUUGGUAAAAGAUGACUAAUCGGCUUCUGGCCGAUUGGAGGCUGUCUUUGAAAAGCAAUCCAAUUUUGUUUUCUUCAAUUAUGAAUUUCAGGAUUUUGUUUUCUUUCAAAUAUGAUUUUUCUCUUUGAAACCCGCCCUAGCAGAGGAAGGACUAGGCUGGCAUUCGGGGAGGGAAGGGUGUCUUGCUGAUGUUUAUCCAGCCUUUAGAAUGUGCAGAGUUCCACUGUGAGCGCUAAGAACAUCUCACUUAAUCCUUAUUCAAUCCUGAGGCAGACAGAGUCAUAAAAAUGAAGCUAAAACCCAUUAUUUAGUGUCAUUGUUGUGGUUGUUAUUUUCUAAAGGAGAGAAUUAAGGUUGAGGGAGGUCUAAUUCCACUUAGUAAGUGGCAGGACUGGGAUUCUAACCCAGGCCUGUCUGACACAAUAGCUGUGUUCUUGACCAUUCUUGACCUUGUUCUUGAUCUGAAUGCUGCCUUCACAUCUCUGCACCUGCUGGCCACCAGCAUCAGCUUAUCCUGCAAAUAUUUAUCAAGGCCCAAAAUGUGUACUUUCCUGAACACUCGUUGUCAGCUAUGAUCCAGACAUGGACCCUUCCCUUGUGGAGCUUAUAGUCUGAUGGGAGGAAAAAAAAAAGAAAAUGCAAUAUAGCUUGAUAGAUGCUAUAGUGAGGUGUGCACAGGGUGCUGGGGGGGCCAUGUAUAUGAGUAGUUUUUGGUGUAGCAUGGGGGCAGUCAGGAUAGACUUCCUGGAGGAGGUGACCAGGGUAAUUCCUUUUGGAGGAAUGGGAAUUAGGCAGGCCCAAGGAAGGAGAGAAUUAGAGAAGGAUAUUUCAGGCAGAAUAAGUAGCAAAUACAAAUGACUAGAGAUCUCAGGUGCCUGCUAGGAAAACACUCACAUAAUUGGAGAGUUUCAGUGAGGAACCAAGGAGUUGGCUCAUUGGGGUGCUAACUUUUGUCUUCUGUGUUUGGCAGGAUGCUGGCAACCUCAUUCUGGAAAGAACACUGCUUUGCAAAGGAAAAGCUCUGAGAGAGAGGUAAGAGGAAAGUCUUUUCUUCCCCCUUGUGGCCUGAAGUGGAUGUGUGACUGCUGUCCUGGGCCUCACCAGAAGCUCUGAGAAGCCUGAUAAGGAUGCUGUUAGAAAGGUCCAGGUUCAGCCACAGCGGAGCUGGUGGACAGGCCCACGCUGUGUGGUCAAGACAGCACAGCGCCCCACGUUACACCCUGGUGCAAUCUCAAAGCCGAAGAUAGGGAGGAUGAAUCUUGUUUUCCUAUUAAACAUAACUACAGAGAAGAAGGAAACCACUGGGAUAGAAUGGAAAGAAGAGAGUGCUCGUGGUCGUGUGCUUCUAGUACCUUCCAUGGGUGGUGAGGAGGAACCACAGGCUCUUCUCUGAAGGGUAAGACCAUGGGAAGGCACCUUUGCUGCCAUUUCUCCCUGGUACUCCCCCCGCCCAGGGGUCUUCAGCACAACUCUGUUAGUCGGCUGCUUUUUGGGCAAAGCCACUUGACCGAAUUAUGGGUAAACCAUGAAGAAGGUAGUUUACAGGUACACAACAUGUGUAGUCAACCAGAUUUGGCUUCAUGCAGUGAUUGGGCUGUUGCCAGGGUCACUUCACCUGGAACUUUGGUGACACUUUGGACCUUCUUGUUAGACUUUCCAGACUGAACCCUUAA
rnacentral:lncRNA from 1 species